CUGCAGAAGAGACCGUGCACACACAGGCGUUACACAACCCUGUUAAAAGCAUCACUGUAUCAGACAUCAUCAUUUAUAAAGAACGCGUGUGCUCAACUGUCUGGCGCUGUUCCAUUUGCUAAUACAGGAUUUCCAAAACAGGAUAUCUCUUCUAUUGCCGGUCCCAGCAGAUGAUUCAGCUGGCCUUUAAUGAACAAAAGGCAGCCCAGCAAGGAAAUGGACUCGUACUAUUCAAGGAAAGAUAACCUCUUCUUUCCUUGAACAAGAGGAGGGACUGACAAAGAUUCUUUGCUUGGCCAAACCAGGUUCCUGAACCUUCUUCUAGGCCCAUCUGUGCACUUCCUUGUAAAUUUCACUUAGAGCAAGCACCCUGCAAAGUCACUUUAGGAAGAAGCAUCCCCUGACCCUCAACAUCUGAUCACCCUCCUUAUCUAAUCCGUUCCUACACUGUCCCCCAGGUGAAGAUGUCUGGUCACCGUGGCCUGUCUUCAGCAAAAAUCCUGUUAAUUGGUGUAGCCAGAAUCUCCCUCACCCGGGGUGUUUCUUCUUAGUCAUUUUCCAUGUGCUGACCCAGCUCCCACCCCCCUGCUCCUCAACUAUCAGUUCCCACUUGCCCAUUCGGACUUGAGCUUAAUCUCUCUCCCCCACUGCAGAAUCUCAUUCCCGUGGUCCCUAUACCUAGCAAGACGGUCCUGAAUAAAGUCUUCCCUACAGUGCUUUA